rnacentral:rRNA from 1 species
GUGGGUUUGACAUAGUAGGUUGUAGGGAACUGAAAAGGGACCGACCCGUUCGGGAGCCUAUACAGGUGUUGCAUGGCUGUCGUCAGCUCGUGUCGUGAGAUGUUCGGUUAAGUCCGCUAACGAGCGCAACCCUCGUCGUAUGUUAUAUGUGUCAUACGAGACUGCCGGUAAAAGCCGGAGGAAGGUGAGGAUGAUGUCAAGUCAGCAUGACCUUUAUAUCCAGGGCUACACACACGCUACAAUGGUCUGUACAAUGGGUAGCCAAGCCGCGAGGCGGAGCCAAUCCUGAAAGCAGGCCUCAGUUCAGAUUGCAGUCUGCAACUCGACUGCAUGAAGCCGGAGUUGCUAGUAACCGCAGGUCAGCAAUACUGCGGUGAAUACGUUCCCGGGCCUU